UUGGCUGCCCCUUCAUAACCAUGAGAUAAUUAAAACGGGGGGGGGCAGGGUUAAAAAAAACUUUUUUUAUCAGCCAGAGGUUAAUGCAAGUGUUUAGCAGAUGCUUUACUAUUAAAUUAUUUUUCCCCCCAAGUCUCAAAUCUUGAAGAAUCUCAAACCAGGGACACCAGCCCCGGAGAGACGACCUUGGGCGAUUUCAAAGCGCAGGCACCUCGAUUCCCCGAAUUUGUGGUGUGGCCGGUAUCGGUGUUCCCCUGGUUUAACUAGCCUGUUUGAAGUUGCAGAUCAUUCUCGGGGAAGUACAACUGAAACCAGUCCUCCCCUGCCCUCUGGGGGUCUUCCUUUUCCCAGCCUACAUCUGCUCCUGACUCCAGAAAGACAGACUUCAGAUUGGCCAAGGCCCAGUUUAAAUGCCGCCUCCUCCAGGAAGCCUUUCCAGAUAGACUGAUAUUUAAUGAAGUGUUUAUGAAGAUAAAUAUGAUGGCUCAUCAAAGAAACGUCUGUUCAUGUGAGGAGGAAGGACUUCUGAGUGGAACUUGAUUUCAUCCCUUGACGUAAAAUCUUGGCAAUGAAACUGUUCCUGUUGUACUUGUGGUUAAAUUCCUCACUAAUCUGGGAUUUUCCACACUCAGUGAGUAUUGCAUUGGGUCUAUAGUCAUGGUGACCCUUAGAACUUGGCACCAGAGUAACAGUCUAUUCAGGGCUAAGGAGAAACUGGAUAAUCUAGACUUAGUGACUUUCUCCAUGAUUGUAUGUCCUAUGAGUGGAACUUCCCUCUCUGUUAGUAGAUCUCUGUAACCAGAAGUCCUGUGACACACAAAACACGUGGACAUUCAACCACAAGUUGUAGAUUGGCUGAGUACAGAUGUUUUCUUCACGAAGCUUUGGUUGGAUACAUAGCUUCUAUGUCUUCUAAUCACAGAUUAUUGGCUCAUAUUCUCACCUCUACCUCUGCCAACUAUUCUUAUCUCUAUUUCCCCUUUUGGCCCAAGGCUCAGUGGAACACAAACCAGAUGAGAUGUGGAAUCUUUUGCUUUCUGUGAUCUCCUAGCACAUUCUGGGUAACUACUAUUUCAA